UACAGAGGUCUCAAGCGUUGUUCGGAAUUACUGGGCGUAAAGAGUGCGUAGGCGGUGCUCUAAGUCUGUUGUGAAAUCUCCCGGCUCAACUGGGAGGGUGCGGCGGAAACUAGAGUGCUAGAGUGUGGGAGAGGUAAGCGGAAUUCCUGGUGUAGCGGUGAAAUGCGUAGAUAUCAGGAGGAACACCUGCGGUGUAGACAGCUUACUGGACCACGACUGACGCUGAUGCACGAAAGCUAGGGGAGCAAACAGG
rnacentral:rRNA from 1 species